UCAGGACGAACGCUGGCGGCGUGCCUAAUACAUGCAAGUAGAACGCUGAAGCUUGGUGCUUGCUCCGAGCGGAUGAGUUGCGAACGGGUGAGUAACGCGUAGGUAACCUGCCUCUUAGCGGGGGAUAACUAUUGGAAACGAUAGCUAAUACCGCAUAAAAGUCGACAUUGCAUGAUGUUGACUUGAAAGGUGCAAUUGCAUCGCUAAGAGAUGGACCUGCGUUGUAUUAGCUAGUUGGUGGGGUAACGGCUCACCAAGGCGACGAUACAUAGCCGACCUGAGAGGGUGAUCGGCCACACUGGGACUGAGACACGGCCCAGACUCCUACGGGAGGCAGCAGU
rnacentral:rRNA from 1 species